ensembl:Mt_tRNA
GUUUUUAUAGUUGAAGAACAACGGUGGUUUUUCAAGCCAUUAGUCCUGGUUAGAGUCCUGGUAGAAACU